UGGGUUUAGACCCAUGGCAGACGAGGUAGGAACACGUAGGUACGUACCGGAGAGUCAGGGAUAACCCGGCGAAAGUCGGAAUAAUACUUGAUGGUCCCGCAAGGGUAAAGAUUUAUCGCUCUCUGAACGGCCUGCGUUCUAUCAGCUUGAUGGUGAGGUAACGGCUCACCAUGGCUACGACGGAUAGGGGAGGUGAGAGCCUGACCCCCACCGAUGGAACUGAGACACGGUCCAUACUCCUACGGGAGGCCGCAGCCGAGAAUCUUCCGCAAUGGACGAAAGUCUGACGGAGCGACGCCGCGUGGUGGAUGAAGCCCUUAGGGGCGUAAACACCUUUUAUGAGGGAGGAAGUUUAUUGACGUUACCUCAUGAAUAAGGGGCUCCCAAUUCUGUGCCAGCAGGAGCGGUAAUACAGAAGCCCCAAGCAUUACCCGGAUUCACUGGGCGUAAAGGGUGCGUAGGCGGAUAUAUUAGUCGAGUGUUAAAUUGUAGGGCUCAACCUUACAGCCGCAUUCGAAACGGUAUAUCUAGAGGACGUGAGAGGUGAACAGAACUCUCGGUGUAGGGGUGAAAUCCGUUGAUAUCGAGGGGAAUACCAAAUGCGAAGGCAGUUCACUGGCGCGUUCCUGACGCUGAGGCACGAAAGCGUGGGUAGCGAACGGGAUUAGAUACCCCGGUAGUCCACGCCCUAAACGCUGUCUGCUGGCUUUUGGGAGAAUCGACCCUUCCAGAGGCGAAGGUAACCCGUUAAGCAGACCGCCUGGGUAGUACGAGCGCAAGCUUAAAACUCAAAGGAAUAGACGGGGCUCGCACAAGCGGUGGAGCGCGUGGCUUAA
rnacentral:rRNA from 1 species